rnacentral:rRNA from 1 species
CCUACGGGUGGCUGCAGUGGGGAAUAUUGGACAAUGGGGGCAACCCUGAUCCAGCCAUGCCGCGUGUGUGAAGAAGGCCCUCGGGUUGUAAAGCACUUUCAGUGAGGAAGAACGCCUGGUGGUUAAUACCCAUCAGGAAGACAUCACUCACAGAAGAAGCACCGGCUAACUCCGUGCCAGCAGCCGCGGUAAUACGGAGGGUGCGAGCGUUAAUCGGAAUUACUGGGCGUAAAGCGCGCGUAGGUGGCUUGAUAAGCCGGUUGUGAAAGCCCCGGGCUCAACCUGGGAACGGCAUCCGGAACUGUCAAGCUAGAGUGCAGGAGAGGAAGGUAGAAUUCCCGGUGUAGCGGUGAAAUGCGUAGAGAUCGGGAGGAAUACCAGUGGCGAAGGCGGCCUUCUGGACUGACACUGACACUGAGGUGCGAAAGCGUGGGUAGCAAACAGGAUUAGAUACCCGUGUAGUC